AGCCCCGCCCCGUCCUAUUCGGGCUCCCGCCUCUGUUCAGUUCCAGAGACAAUUCAUGGGUCUUGCGGCCACCGAGGCGCUGUCCCUGACCACCAGCACGAGACCCCUUUCUAUCGCGCCAGUCCUGUGGUCUCCGCACCUCUCCAGCUCCUGCACCCCCGGCCCCCGUGGUUCCCAGCCGCACAGUAGCGUGUCCUGGGUAGCGUGAGGACCCACGGAGCUGGGCAGGACACUGGGUCCCCUAGGAGCCUCCCCAGGCUUAAUGAUUGUCCAGAAGGCGGCUAUAAAGGGAGCCUGGGAGGCUGGGUGGAGGAGGGAGCAGAAAAAACCCAACUCAGCAGAUCUGGGAACUGUGAGAGCGGCAAGCAGGAACUGUGGUCAGAGGCUGUGCGUCUUGGCUGGUAGGGCCUGCUCUUUUCUACCAUGGCAGCCCAGGGCUAUGGCUAUUAUCGCACUGUGAUCUUCUCAGCCAUGUUUGGGGGCUACAGCCUGUAUUACUUCAAUCGCAAGACCUUCUCCUUUGUCAUGCCAUCAUUGGUGGAAGAGAUCCCUUUGGACAAGGAUGAUUUGGGGUUCAUCACCAGCAGCCAGUCGGCAGCUUAUGCUAUCAGCAAGUUUGUCAGUGGGGUGCUGUCUGACCAGAUGAGUGCUCGCUGGCUCUUCUCUUCUGGGCUGCUCCUGGUUGGCCUGGUCAACAUAUUCUUUUCCUGGAGCUCCACAGUACCUGUCUUUGCUGCCCUCUGGUUCCUUAAUGGCCUGGCCCAGGGGCUGGGCUGGCCCCCAUGUGGGAAGGUCCUGCGGAAGUGGUUUGAGCCAUCUCAGUUUGGCACUUGGUGGGCCAUCCUGUCAACCAGCAUGAACCUGGCUGGAGGGCUGGGCCCUAUCCUGGCAACCAUCCUUGCCCAGAGCUACAGCUGGCGCAGCACGCUGGCCCUGUCUGGGGCACUGUGUGUGGUUGUCUCCUUCCUCUGUCUCCUGCUCAUCCACAAUGAACCUGCUGAUGUUGGACUCCGCAACCUGGACCCCAUGCCCUCUAAGGGCAAGAAGGGCUCCUUGAAGGAGGAGAGCACCCUACAGGAGCUGCUGCUGUCCCCUUACCUGUGGGUGCUCUCCACUGGUUACCUUGUGGUGUUUGGAGUAAAGACCUGCUGUACUGACUGGGGCCAGUUCUUCCUUAUCCAGGAGAAAGGACAGUCAGCCCUUGUAGGUAGCUCCUACAUGAGUGCCCUGGAAGUUGGGGGCCUUGUAGGCAGCAUCGCAGCUGGCUACCUGUCAGACCGGGCCAUGGCAAAGGCGGGACUGUCCAACUACGGGAACCCUCGCCAUGGCCUGUUGCUGUUCAUGAUGGCUGGCAUGACAGUGUCCAUGUACCUCUUCCGGGUAACAGUGACCAGUGACUCCCCCAAGGAUGUUGCUUUCUGGACUCUGGCUCUUCACCCUCUCGCGGAGCUCACAGGCUUUACAGAGCAUGAGCUCUGGAUCCUGGUAUUGGGAGCUGUAUUUGGUUUCUCCUCGUAUGGCCCCAUUGCCCUGUUUGGAGUCAUAGCCAACGAGAGUGCCCCUCCCAACUUGUGUGGCACCUCCCACGCCAUUGUGGGACUCAUGGCCAAUGUGGGCGGCUUUCUGGCUGGGCUGCCCUUCAGCACCAUUGCCAAGCACUACAGUUGGAGCACAGCCUUCUGGGUGGCUGAAGUGAUUUGUGCGGCCAGCACAGCUGCCUUCUUCCUCCUACGAAACAUCCGCACCAAGAUGGGCCGAGUGUCCAAGAAGGCUGAGUGA
rnacentral:sRNA from 1 species